UCUUAAAGGAGGGAAACCAAAUUUUCAUUCCCUCUGUUAUUUCCCUCAAAUAUUUUCCCCUUUUUAUUUCAGUUUCAGUCAAAAACAAAAACGAAUCAAACUUCUAUCUCUCGCAGCCCCAUACCUAUCAUCGCCGCCGUAGAUACUCUUCAUCCAUCAACCUCAGGAGCAGAUGGCAGCUUGUCGAUAUCUAGAUCUAGUGUUGAUCAUGAAAUCAAUUUGAGGAUUUAUUUGUAGAUGGAUGCUGUUGUAAAUUCAACCAAUGAGGUUUAGCAUUUGAAUGAGGGAUUAUAUUUUUCAAAUGGAGGACAAGGAACUUGAUUUCUUGCCGCUGGGUUUGUGUUCAUCUUCGCGCCGCUAGGUUUGUGUUCAUCUUCCUCUCACCAUUGGGUUUGCAUUCAUAGCUCUCGUCGAUGGGUUUACAUUCAGUUUCCUUCACUAGUGAUUAUAUUCAGGCCAUGUCAGGUGCAUUGCUUGUUUGUUUACCAUUGAAUUUCAAAUCAACAUUAGUUUAUCAUCACCUACAAUGUUUAAGGUUUCAUUAUGUUGUUAUUUAUUAUUACAGAAGGCUUAAAUAAUUAAGGGUUAGAGAGAAGGGAACCAAAGUAUUUUGAAGGUUGAUUAAUAGAGGAAGACAAGAAGCAAGGAUCUAGGAGUUCAUUAUAAUUCUUGUGUUAUUUCAUAUAUCUAUGUUUUUUCUAUAAAUGUAUAAAAUUGAUCUUCUGUAGGGGAAAGUUACUUAUUUUGUUGUGAAGUUAAUGAAGAGUGUGUGUGUGUUGUGUUUACCUGUCAAACUGAAUGUGGCCUUAUAUCGCGCAGGUUUACCUUUGUAGAACCCAUUCAUCCGAAGAUUGUAGGAAACCUGUAAGAUGCUCAAGCUUUUGCUCGUAAUCAAGCCAACAAGGGAACUGUUUGAUUCAACAUGGUGUUGCUACCUCUAAUCCGCUGCUGCGAUUAAUUCGGUGCUAAAUAGAUGGAUGCUAAUGAAAAUAAUGUGAUGGGUGGUGAAGUUUAGCUUUAGUUACUUUCCUUCCGUUAUGUAGUUUUUUCAAAACAAUUAUAUGUAUUUGAUAUAACUAUCUAAGUGUUAUAGUGUUGCAGUUGAUACUUUGUAAGAAUGACAUAAAUUUUUAUGUUAAUGUUGCAAAUUUGGUGUCAA